rnacentral:lncRNA from 1 species
CUUCCUGUUUGUGCCAGAGACGUCUCUGAGACUAUCAGGAGACGUCUCGGCUGUCCCUGAUCUGUUUUCUUCAUCUCAAAAAUUCUUCAUUAAAUCCUUAAAAAUUAUGGGAACUUGCCUAGACAUUUCUUAACAAUAUUCUUAAUAAAACACAUGAAUUCCUCAAUAAAUUGUUAAGAUAAAUAGGAAUUAUACUCUAGUGUUUUGUAUUCAUCAAAAUCCAUUAGGGGGUCAACAAUCUCUCCCUUUUUGAUGAUGACAAAACACUGAGUAUAUGCAAAAUUCGAAUUUUAAACAUAUACACAGUAUUUGAUCAGAUGUACAAGUAUAAUGUUUUGAUUAGAGCUAGAUACAGUGUGCAUAAUUCAAAAUAGUCAAUUUUCAAUUCUGUCCUUAUGCAUAAGAUUGAUCUUUAUAUCUCUUAAGCAAUUUUAGCAUAUCAACUGAAUUUGAAUCAAGUUAAAAUGAAAUAUUGAUGCUAAAGAUAAUUGAAAGCUAAGUUCUUUUUUUGACUCUCCCUUUCUUUUCCAGAAGGGCAAUUAUCUUAAAGCCAAUAUUCUUCAAUUUUAUCUCUUCUAAUUCUUCAAUUUUGCAUUCCACCAUAAAUUUUGCAUUCCAAUAUAUCCAAUAUCCAUAUUGGGUCUAUAUAUCUACUCCCCCUUUUUGUCAUCAACAAUGAAGGGGACAAAUUAUCCUUGGUACUUAAAACUCAAUUUCUAGUAGAAUUCAGCAGAUUACAAUGAACCACUCAAGGAUAUUCAAGUUAUUUCUUUUAAUGAAUUCUGCAUUUAUUUCACUCCCCCUUUGAUAUUCAGGUUGUGCUCCCCCUGUUUUAUAUGCAUUGAUAAAUUGUGUCAAAUUUGAACAUUUAAGGUAUGUUAUGAGAUUCUUAUGGCACAUCAAGAGGCACAUUCACAAUCACAGAAUCACAUACACAAAAUUAGAAAUAUACACAAGUUUUCAAAAGGAAUUGUAUGUCAUUCAUAUUUCAUUGUAAAUCUUUGAAGUCAUUACAAAGUUAAAAGAGGAAAUCAUUACAAGUAUU